CCCUUAGAUGUCCGGGGCUGCACGCGCGCUAUACUGUAGAAAGCAGCGUGCUUUAAAACCUUUCCUGAAAAGGAUGGGUAACCCCAGCAAAAUUCUACGUGCUUGGGAUAGAGAUUUGCAAUUUUCUCUCUUGAACGAGGAAUUCCCAGUAAGUGCGAGUCAUCAGCUCGCGUUGAUUACGUCCCUGCCCUUUGUACACACCGCCCGUCGCUACUACCGAUUGGGAAAAUUUUAGAGAGUCCUGGACUGAUGAUUGUUCGGCUUCACGGCCUUACUUUCGUCGGGAAAGAAUUCGAUAAUAUUUUUCUAGAGGAAGUAAAAGUCGUAACA
rnacentral:rRNA from 1 species